rnacentral:rRNA from 1 species
GUCUAUGCCAUGCCACCCUGAACAUGCGAGAUCUCGUCUGAUCUCAGAAGCUAAGCAGGGUGGGUCCUGAUUAGUACUUGAAUGGGAGACCACGUAGGAAGACCAGGUGCUGUAGGAU